AUAUCUUCUAGAAUAUUCUACGGGGACCAAACACAUCGAAAACUAACUCGUAACGACCAUAAAAUUGCCGAAAUAUGAUGAUUUUGAACAUGUCUUCAACAAGUAGCAAAAAAUCGGCAGUGGUAGCAGUUUCAUUUGCUCACUUUUUCCGAUUAAAGAACAUAUUUCACGUUUCUAUCCACUUUACCAACCUUCGUUUGAUCCCAAUUUUUUCUGGAAUAUUGCCAUACAAAAUUGCAAAGCUGGGGUUACUCACAAUUUGCAAUUUUCAAAACGUUCUGAAGGUUUCAAUUUUUACAGUUUAAUCUUCAUAUUAAGUACUAAGUACCUACUAUUAGUCUCUGCACCUUAAAGACACAUUUAUCAGGAUUAAUUGUUGGAUUUUUUUAACCAAUAGUAUAUAUAUGAAAAGGCUUUAAUGUUUAAUCUAAUUACAGCCCGUUGUUCUAGAAUCGCGAAUAAAUUGUGCUAAUUCAAUCAAUUAAAGCGCUGGUCCAAAUUGCAAAGUUUAUUGUCGCGCCAUGGACUUAACCUAUUUAGAAAUUUAAAAAUACUGCGAACUUUUACCUUUUGGCAAUUGUUUGGAAAUGCAAAAAUCUCAUGUCGCACUUACUUGCUUGGUUUAGUUAGUUAGCAACCUGGGUUGGCCCGUGACGGUACUAAUUGGCUAAAAAACGCCUUGUCACACAAAAAAAACGUAAAAAAUUGAUUAUUUGCGCGUUUUUUUACUUUGUGUGUCGACCAUCAGUGAAUGUUGGCUAUGAAGAAAGGGAAACAUUUAUUCCGGCAAUUAAACAAGGCAAGUUGCCAACUUACCCCGCCUUUCCACACUCUCGUGUAAACAGCUAAAGUACUACAUUUAAAA
rnacentral:lncRNA from 1 species